AGAGUUUGAUCCUGGCUCAGAGCGAACGCUGGCGGCAGGCCUAACACAUGCAAGUCGAACGAUCCUUCGGGAUAGUGGCGGACGGGUGAGUAACACGUGGGAACGUGCCUUUUGGUUCGGAAUAACACAGGGAAACUUGUGCUAAUACCGGAUGAGCCCUACGGGGGAAAGAUUUAUCGCCGAAAGAGCGGCCCGCGUUAGAUUAGCUAGUUGGUGGGGUAAAGGCCCACCAAGGCUCCGAUCUAUAGCUGGUCUGAGAGGAUGAUCAGCCACACUGGGACUGAGACACGGCCCAGACUCCUACGGGAGGCAGCAGUGGGGAAUCUUGCGCAAUGGGCGAAAGCCUGACGCAGCCAUGCCGCGUGAAUGAUGAAGGUCUUAGGAUUGUAAAAUUCUUUUACCAGGGACGAUAAUGACGGUACCUGGAGAAAAAGCCCCGGCUAACUUCGUGCCAGCAGCCGCGGUAAUACGAAGGGGGCUAGCGUUGCUCGGAAUUACUGGGCGUAAAGGGAGCGUAGGCGGGUUAUCAAGUUGGAGGUGAAAGCCCAGGGCUCAACCUUGGAAUUGCCUUCAAAACUGAUAGCCUAGAGUAUGGAAGAGGUAAGUGGAACUCCGAGUGUAGAGGUGAAAUUCGUAGAUAUUCGGAAGAACACCAGUGGCGAAGGCGACUUACUGGUCCAUGACUGACGCUGAGGCUCGAAAGCGUGGGGAGCAAACAGGAUUAGAUACCCUAGUAGUCC
rnacentral:rRNA from 1 species